rnacentral:rRNA from 1 species
AACGCGAAGAACCUUACCUACCCUUGACAUCCUCGGGAUCCGCUAGAGAUAGUGGAGUGCCUUCGGGAACCGAGAGACAGGUGCUGCAUGGCUGUCGUCAGCUCGUGUCGUGAGAUGUUGGGUUAAGUCCCGUAACGAGCGCAACCCUUGUCCUUAGUUGCCAUCAGGUAAAGCUGGGAACUCUAAGGAGACUGCCGGUGACAAGCCGGAGGAAGGUGGGGAUGACGUCAAGUCCUCAUGGCCCUUACGGGUAGGGCUACACACGUGCUACAAUGGACGGUACAAAAGGCAGCGAAACCGCGAGGUGAAGCGAAUCUUUUCAAAGCCGUUCGUAGUCCGGAUUGGAGUCUGCAACUCGACUCCAUGAAGUUGGAAUCGCUAGUAAUCGUGGAUCAGAACGCCACGGUGAAUACGUUCCCGGGCCUUGUACACACCGGUACUA